rnacentral:rRNA from 1 species
GCCGAAAAUGAUUGGCGAUAAAUAGUAUACCGAAGCUGCGGACUUGAGAGGGUUUCGACCCUUUCAUUUGGUAGGAGAGCGUAAUUCAUGCAGUGAAGCCUUACUGGAAAGGACGGUGGAGCGUGAAUUAGUGAGAAUGCAGACAUGAGUAGCGAUAAACCAGAUGAGAAUUCUGGUCGCCGUAAACCUAAGGUUUCCUGGGCAAGGUUCGUCCUCCCAGGGUUAGUCGGGAGCUAAGAUGAGGCCGUAAGGCGUAGUCGAUGCACAGCAGGUUAAUAUUCCUGCACCAACUAGGAUUAAGGACUGGAGUGAAGCAGAGAGGAAAGUGACUAGGCAAUCGAAUGCUGAGCCGAGGGGCAACCCGAAGCGUAUCACCGGACAAUCUGUCGAGAAAAGCUCCUUUUCGUUUCCCUAGGUGCCCGUACCGUAAACCGACACAGGUGGGUGGGUCGAGUAGACCAAGGCGCGCGAGAGAAACCUCUAUAAGGAACUCGGCAAAAUAGCCCCGUAACUUCGGGAGAAGGGGUACCCACUUCGGUGGGUCACAGUAAAUUGGGUUUAGCGACUGUUUAACAAAAACACAGCACUCUGCCAAGUUGUGAAAACAACGUAUAGGGUGUGACACGUGACCAAUGCGGAAAGAUCAAGGUGACUUGUUAGCCGCAAGGCGAAGCUCGGAGCCAAAGUCCCCGUGAAUGUCGGCCGUAACUAUAACGGUCCUAAGGUAGCGAAAUUCCUUGUCGGGUAAGUUCCGACCUGCACGAAUCGUGUAACGACUGAACCGCUGUCUCGGAGAGGAUCUCGGCGAAAUUGUAACGGCGGUGAAGAUGCCGCCUGCCCGCAGUAGGACGGAAAGACCCUAUGCACCUUUACUGUAAGCUGGUAUUGUGUUCUGAUUAAUGAUGCGUAGCGUAGGUGGGAGACUUUGAAGCCAUGGUUUCGGUUGUGGCUGAGUCGCAAUGUGAAACACCACUCUUUGUUAAUUAGGAUUCUAACCCUAUGCUGUUAGCCAGCUAGGGGACAGUGCCUGCGGGUCAGUUUGACUGGGGCGGUUUCCUCCCAAAGGGUAACGGAGGAGCGCUAAGGUACUCUCAGCAUGGUUUGCAACCAUGCGUCGAGCGUAUGGGUAGAAGAGUGCUUAACUGCGAGACCAACAAGUCGAGCAGAUACGAAAGUAGGCCCAAAUGAUCCGAUGGUUGAAUAUGGAAUUGCCAUCGCUCAACGGACAAAAGGUACGCUAGGGAUAACAGGCUGAUCGGAUCCAAGAGUUCAUAUCGACGAUCCGGUUUGGCACCUCGAUGUCGGCUCAUCGCAUCCC